rnacentral:lncRNA from 1 species
UAUAUAUGUGUCAACGAAUAUUCCAGCCUUAAUCACUGGCUGUCGCGCAAUCUCUAGAAUAAGCUCGAGUGUUCGCGCCUUGCGCGCAAUCUUAACAAAAUGAUC